AGUGGUUAAGAAAGGGAUUCUCUAUUCUCAAAUAUAGAUAAAAAUCAUAUAUUUAGGAACUAUAAGCACCUGUAAGCUACGAAAAUCAUUGUAACACUAAUGGAAGAAAAGGAUGAGCCUUCAAUAGAACCUCUGCUGUGCUAUGACAUGCCUUUGAAUGACUCAGGAAAGGAUACCCUCUUCUCUGGACAGAGGCGGCUUCUGCAGCCACAUAGGGCUUGGGGAGCAAAGUGAGUGCUGGAUUUGGGGCACCCCUGCCCUCAGCCAGGUGCCUUGUACCAUCAGCCACCAUAACAGCCAAGAUGUUACUGAUUUAACAAAUCCACAUGUAAGGCAGUACUGGUUAGUUCAUACAAGAGUAAUUAUCACAUAAUUAGAUUUUAAAAGAUGUAACCAUUUACAUUAUCACUUUCAAUACAAUCUCAUGUUGAUGUAGCACUCAUCACAGAGAGGACAGUGAGAAUUUCUAUAGAAACAACCGAGGUACACAGAAGUGUUAAGAUAGGUCUGAAAUAUGCUUGGACUUGGGUAUGAAAUAUACAACCUGCCUUGUAAAACUUAGCAUCAGUGUGACAUGAAGCAGCUCAGGGGUGCAGAGAAGGAAAAAAACAGCAGCACUGCAGAGGCUUAGAAAAAUCUUUAUUAAAUUGCUUAGUAAAAAUGUUAAUGGCCAAAAGUCUGUAUGUAUGGUAAGCAGGCAAAAUUAGAUCUGAAAGCAGCUUUUGAUUUAUUGAUCUUUAGGUGCAGCUUUGCUACCAUCCUUUUUAUUUUGGGUCAAAAAAGUAAAGAACCCCCUUCAACCUUUUGUUUUCUGUUGUUUUAGGAGCAUAGCCUAUGGAAUUCAAAAAGUUCCAGUCCUAUAGUUAAUGAAACUCACAAAAUUGUACAUUUUGUGUUCCUUGUGACUUCAGUAUCUGAGUACUGAACUCUCACACUAGAAAUCCAUCUACUCACCAGCUACCAGGGCAUGCCAAGUCACUGAAUGCACAAUCUCAGAAACCAUCCAUCCCCAUAGAAUAUGCAAGUUUUAACUGAUUAAACAGAAUUAUGUCUUGCUAAUUGGGAACUAGAUAGAGAUCACUGUAACUAGUCUUCAGUGUAGCUAUGGUGUCCAGAAACAGAAGAGAUCACUGAGGGGGCGAGGGGCCUAGACCAGCAAUGAACAGCAUCAUAAAGUAAAACACUUGGCUCUUAUGCCCUAACCUACCCACACUGGCUGCUGAUGGCCCACAGUGCCAGGCCCACUUUGGUUUCCCAUGUUUUGGCAGCUUUCUAGUUGCCAGAUUACUGUUGUUCUCAAAAUUUGCCAGGCCCUGGCCUUCUAUAAGAUGAUAAACAGUUAAUCUAGGCAAUGGAUCACUAUUGACAUCUUCAUAACUGUGUACUCAUCAGGACUGUUUUCCAGUAUCUUUGUGCAGAUUUUAGUAGUUUCUGCGACAAUGACCUAAGCCAGUAGAUGACUCCAACCUUCAGACUUCCAGGCUGCGGGGGCGUGUGAUAUCUUCCAAAUUAUACCAGUAGUAAAAUGGGAAAUGGUUAAACAAACAUCCAUCUUCUGAGCAGUGUUAUCCUAAGUCCAAGAAGAAGCCUUGAAAACAGAAGCCCCGUCAAUCACAAACCUUUCUCCUGACCUAUUCUCCUGACAUCCCCAGACCCGGCUACUAAGGAAGAUCCUUUUGGGCGAGGGAAGGAGAGGGUCUGAUCAGGAGCCCUCUCUGCCAGGCAGCUGGUCUCAUCUGGAUGGCAGGAAUGGUGAUCCCGCCCAACAGAGACUGUCUUUGACCAUUACGCUGGAAACGUUCCAGAGAAAAUUUUAACCACAAUAAUGCCCAUUCAUGUGCCAAAUCAAGAUCAAGGUUCUUCUAUAAAAAGUAACUGGUGCGGAAGUGAGAACGGAGAACUCCCACCAACAGGUGAGAAAUUGAGAAAGGGGAGGUGCUGGGCGGUUGCUGCCCUGCGGGGAACAGUUCCCAGGGCAGAUCUAUAGCAGUUCACACACUUUGAACUUUGUCGUCUGAACUGCCAAGGAGGUGGGGAGGAUUUCUUCUUUUAAAAAAAACUAGGCCCAUGUGCAACUCAAAUGUGCCCUCCCCUUCAUAAUGACUACCAUUCUAAAGUGGUUUAUUAUCAUAGUGAGAAAAUAAAUGCUUUUUUUUUUUAAGAAAUGGGGUCUUGUUCUGUUGCCCAGGCUAGAGCACAGUGG